UAAGGAAUAUUGGACAAUGGUCGGAAGACUGAUCCAGCCAUGCCGCGUGAAGGACGAAGGCGCUCAGCGUUGUAAACUUCUUUUGGACGGGAACAAAACCGGGCACUUGUGUCCGUCUGAGGGUACCGUCAGAAUAAGCACCGGCUAACUCCGUGCCAGCAGCCGCGGUAAUACGGAGGGUGCAAGCGUUAUCCGGAAUCACUGGGUUUAAAGGGUGCGUAGGCGGUUUUUUAAGUCAGUUGUGAAAUUCCCUCGCUUAACGAGUGGGACUGCGAUUGAUACUGAGAGACUUGAAUCAGGUUGAGGUAGGCGGAAUGUGACAUGUAGCGGUGAAAUGCUUAGAUAUGUCAUAGAACACCGAUUGCGAAGGCAGCUUGCUGGACCUGAAUUGACGCUGAGG
rnacentral:rRNA from 1 species